rnacentral:rRNA from 1 species
UACAGAGGUGGCAAGCGUUGUUCGGAAUUACUGGGCGUAAAGGGCGCGUAGGCGGUUCGUUAAGUCCUGUGUGAAAUCCCCCGGCUCAACUGGGGAACUGCACAGGAAACUAGCGGGCUUGAGUUCGGGAGAGGGAAGCGGAAUUCCGGGUGUAGCGGUGAAAUGCGUAGAUAUCGAGAGGAACACCUGCGGCGAAGGCGGGUUGCUGGGCUGACACGUGACGCUGAGGCGCGAAAGCGUGGGUAGCAACAGG